AGAAGAAGAAAUCCAUCCCAAAAGCAAAGAGAAAACAAGAGAAGAAGAGAAUGAGCAAGAGAGAGAAAAAAAAAAUCUUUCUUGUGAGAAAAUCUUUCUCUAUAAGAAAUUAAGUAUAAUUUCUUGAGUGUAUUUGGGGUCGGGUGUGAGUUGAGAGCUUGUAAAAAUUUCCCGGGUUGAUAAUAAAAGAUCUGUAGCAGGUCCGGAGACGUAGGCAAAAGCUGGCCGAACUCCGUUAACAAUUUUGUAUCCUUCACUUGGGGCAUCUUAUCAGAGCAGCUGUCGCACCUCCUCCUCCUUUCACAUUUACUGUGAAAGAGAAGCUCAAUGUCGCAUUGAACCAAUUUGGUGGAAUCAGUAGCUUUAAUCUGGUCGGAACCCUGUCCCUUCAGACUCUUACCCAAGAUGAUGAUGGCUUUCUCCUAGUUCAGAUCCAUCCCCGGUUCAACAAAUCACUCUUUGAGAACAAGAAGAUUUUAGCGCUUAUGACACCUGUUCCGGCAUUUCCCACCACUGGUCUAGGUGGAGAUGGUGUUCUUGUGAGGUAGAGUCUGCAAACAGCAGACGAGUCCAUGGUGCCUGUCAAAAUCAACUUCUGGCCUAUUCUCUGUCGAAACAACAACAUCAGGCAUGUCACCAUCUCGUAUGAAGCCUCCUCCAUGUUUGAUGAUCUAACCAGUGCUGUCAUCUCCCUACCUCUUCCUGCUGCGCCAAUGGCUACACGUUGUGAUGGGCACUAUAGCUAGUUACGACCCAAUGAACUCAACUCUUGAAUGGUUCCUUCUCCUCGACAACUCCAACCGCAGUGGGUCAAUGGAGUUUGUGGUGCCACCAUUUGAUCCAGCAGUAUUCUUCCCCAGCUCCGUUAACUUUGCAUCAACCACUACAUACAGUGGUUUAAAGGUAUGAUACUCUGUAAAUUUUCAUCUGAUGAUAACUGAGACAUACUAAUGAGAACGCUGGUGCAGUUGACUGACAUGAUCCCUCUGAGAGGUGAUGGUGGUUUUGUGCAGAGCUCGGAGCUGGUAACUCAUGAGUACACCAAGUCGUGUGAGAAGAAAGCUUUUGCAUUGGAGCCCUUUGUUGCUUUCAUUUUAGUAUUUUGCUACUACUCUACUCUCUUUAUUAUGACUUGCGACUUUUUGUUGCUUUAAGAUACUACCUUACUUUUCGCACUUAAGUUAACUCAUGCUAUUAUUUUACGGUAUUUCUAUUUUUUCUAUUAUUAGCAUCACUUUUUCUGAUGUAAGUUUUAUAUCAUUAAGUAAACUCAUGCUAUUAUCACUCAGUCAUUAGAAGCAAAAUACCUUCCCUGUUUCCUUCAGUCUUGCUAAAACCUAUAGAUCUAAGAACAAGCAGCACUAUGACCAAUUGAGAAUGGCUAGUUGAUGGUGGACCUAAGAGAUGAUGGUGAAGAAGACCUAGGUGAUGGUUCAAAGAAUCAAGGAGCACAAGUUAAUGAUCAAAGAAGAUACUAAAAUCAAGGAAGGAGCAGAAGCCGGAAGAAGCGAUGAUCAAAGCUGAGAAACCAAACCGUAGAGCUGAACGAGAUUUGCUUACCUAAGUGAGAAAGGAAGCAAGGUGGACAUGAAGAAGUCUUGGAGAUUCCUCUCAAGAGGGAGAAUCACAAGAAGAACAAGAGGAGUUUUAAUCAAAGGAUUCAAGAGGGAGUGUUGGAAUUGAAAUCCUUUGGUUAAACACACAAUGAGAAGGUUAAAUCAAGAGAGAAGAAGAAGUGGAAGCAAGGAAGUUUGCCACACAAGAAAAGAAGAAGAUGAUGAAAAAGAAGAAGAGACUUGGCGUGCAAGAAACAUAGGAACUAUAAGAAGACCAACGUGGACAACAUGAAGACAAAGAGGUCAAGCCAGAGAGCAAAAUGUCAACAUGAAGUAUCUCAUUUAAACUAUAAACGUAAAUUUAACAUCAAUCAUUCCCUGUUGUAAAGUAAAACAGUUUAUUCGCGUUCAAGUGUUUAUUCACAACGUUAUUAUGUCUUUACCUUCUCAAAUGCUUUACGCAAAAAUGGUGUUGUAUGAUAAAAUAUCUAGAUUUAUCUCUUCUGA